GAUGAACGCUGGCGGCGUGCCUAAUACAUGCAAGUCGAGCGAACAGACGAGGAGCUUGCUCCUCUGACGUUAUCGGCGGACGGGUGAGUCACUCGUGGAUAACCUACCUAUACGACUGGGAUAACUUCGGGAAACCGGAGCUACUACCGGAUAAUUUAUUGACUCUCAUGGUUCAAUAGUUGAAGAAGGUUUUUCUGUCACUUAUAGCUGGAUACGCGCAGCAUUAGCUAGUUGGUAAGGUAACGGCUUACCAAGGCGACGAUGCGUAGCCGACCUGAGCGGGUGAUCGGCCACACUGGAACAGAGGCACGGUCCAGACUCCGACGGGAGGCAGCAGUAGGGAAUCUUCCGCAAUGGGCGAAAGCCGGACGGAGCAACGCCGCGUGAAGGAUGAAGGUCUUCUGAUCGUAAAACUCUGUUAUUCGGGAAGAACAAAUGUGUAAGUAACUAUGCACGUCUUGACGGUACCUAAUCAGAAAGCCACGGCUAACUACGUG
rnacentral:rRNA from 1 species